UACGGGGGGGGCAAGCGUUGUUCGGAAUUACUGGGCGUAAAGGGCGCGUAGGUGGCCAACUAAGUCAGACGUGAAAUCCCUCGGCUUAACCGGGGAACUGCGUCUGAUACUGGAUGGCUUGAGUUUGGGAGAGGGACGCGGAAUUCCAGGUGUAGCGGUGAAAUGCGUAGAUAUCUGGAGGAACACCGGUGGCGAAGGCGGUGAUCUGGGCCGACACUGACGCUGUAGAGCGAAAGCGUGGGGAGCGAACAGG
rnacentral:rRNA from 1 species